GGAGGAGCCUGAGGGCCCGAGAGGUGAGGGGGCCGGCUCAGAGGCACCCUGUGAGAGCCAGAGGGCAGCCCUGGCCAGGAGCAGACGAGCCCGAAAGAGGGAAGGAGGAAGUGUCCUGAUCGGUGUGUCUGCUUUCUCCCUGUUGGCUGAUGGCCUGGCUUGUGACCUGACAGCGGGGGCACCCACCAUCACACGGCUCAGAACCUUCUCCAUGCAUCAGCCUCACGACAAAGGUCAAGCCUCUGCAAGCUGUGCACAAGAUUCUCUGAGGCCUUGUCUUUGAAUGGUGUCCCACAUCACCUGGACUGUCUCUCAGCGCAUGAAUCAGAUGUGCAAGUCUGUGCACCUGGAGGUUGUUAUUGUUAGUUAUUUUCUGCCCCUGAAAGCCUCAGGUUUUAAGAUUGACUUUUUUCUUUUUUUAGGUCAGGAGACUUCUCAGGGGUGAAAGAGUCAAGUCCAAACUUGUUUCCUGUAAGGGAGAGAAGCUGUCCACCCACCCAUCUGUCCACCAUCCAUCCGUCCACCCACUUAUCUACUUAACUCCCCACCCAUCCAUUCACCUCCUUACCUCCCCCGCCCCCACCUAUCCAGUAUUCUCUGAGUAUAUUCUGGGCCAGGCUCUGCGCUGAGAGCUGAAGACUGUACAGAUCAGUCAAGUACCUCCCCUAGUCUCCAGCACCGCACAGUGGGACGGAGAAAGAUGGUGCAAAUAGACUAUAAAAAAUAAAUGUAAAUGCCACGAUGAGGCAAGUCAGGUGCUGUGGACCACAGAGGUCUUCACUCAGUCAUGGGGGUCAGAGGGGUCUUGGAGGAUGUAGGUGCUCUUGAGUUGAUCUGGAAGGACCAGAGGCAGAGAAAGCAUGAAAGUUAAGGGCCAGAAUGUGCAAAGGCCCAGGGAAUGUGUCAAAUAGCAUGUCACACUCUUUUGCAAACAGUGUAUGCUGGAGAAGGCGGUGGUGGUAGAGUGGGGUGGGAGAGAGAUCACAGCUAGAGUCCAAUGCAGAUUUCUUGACCUGUGGACCUGUUCUAGGUUCAUCUGGGAGUAGACAGGGAGGGAGCACAGAUGGAGGCCUCCCAGAACCAGAGCCGUUGUGGCUUGUGAUAGGCAGCUGGCUCUGAGUGAGUGUGUACUAAGCCCAGGGGCAAGGCAGCCUUUCAGGCUAGCUUAUUGACCAGGCGAGCAUUAGCAGGGUGAGGCCCAAGCUGCAGAGCCUGGCAGAUGGGUUCCAUUUCUGAGCCUCAGUCUCCCAAUGCUAAGCUGAGGAGCUGUUAUUCGGCGAUUGAGGCUGCUGAUGUUCCUUCCCUUUCCCUUACAGGGUAACUCCAAAUGGCCACUCUAGCUUCAGGCUGGGGGCUCUCCCACAGUACCUGAACCUACUUUCUCCAGUUCCGUCCAGGCAGGGUGAUUGUCCAAAACAGUCCCGAAUGUACCACUCACUGCUUGUGGAUAAAAGCACAGUUCUUAAAGAGGCAUUAAAAAAAUUCCACACUUUAUAAACAUAGUCUCUGCCUCCCUUCCUUCCUAUUCUGUCCCUCCCUUCCUUCCUUCCAUCCACGUAUCCAUCCAUCCUUCCAUCCUUCCAUCGUUCCUUCCUUCCUUGCUUCCCACCCUUUAUCUAGCCUCUCAGUCGUUCAACAAACAGCUAUUUCUUAUCUCACUCUCCUUUCUCCUGUUCACUCACUGCGCACUGCCCUCUUGCCUUGUGUCUGAGGGGCAGUCUCCCCCUCUGUUUGGUGAGAGGUAGUGCUGGUGGUGAGGCUGUUGCUCUUCUCCUUUGCCUAUCACUCACCUUUUCUUCAAGGUCACUUCCUCUGUGAAGGCUCCUGCCUUACCAGCGAUCCUUCCUCUCGGCUUCCACUCUGAGGCGCUUGUCUCUUUAUGGGGUGUAUAAUUCACAGCAUUGUUUCUGUGCCUGUCUGUUGCUCACUGUCCUACCCCAGCUCCACCAGGGUGGCUUCACUGUGCAUUGUUUAGGUUGUGCACUGCACAAGAAUACCGAACUGAAGGAGGUGAUGUGGUGGGAGGCUACAUCUGCUCAGAAGGAGGAAUGCUUUUUUUCUAAAUUUUCCAAAGGCACUUGCUCUCCAAGAGAUUGGUUCAAUUGGCUGAAUCUAUUUCAAGUGGGCACUUUUGCUCUUUCUCAAACUAAGGUUCUUUGAGCUAGCGUGAUGGAUUAACUAAUGGUCACCUUGUAACACCCAGCUGAACUGAAUCAUGUGAUUCUGGGCAUGGAAGGCCCACCUGAGGAGUGCUGCCAAUGGCAUAAACUGGAGGGAAACAUGGUAUGCUGUUGAUUCUCCUGGAGAAGCUUAUCAUACUGGCAUUCCUGAUAUGAACUCAGCUGUUCUCAUCGUUGGAGGAGCUUGGAUCCUCGCUGUCACUGAGAUUGGCUGCCAGUCUCUUCUAGUCCUUAGGCUGCCAGGAGCUCUCUGGUCCUUACCUUGAGCAUUGCUUCCUGGCUCCAGUACAGACCCCUCAGCCUCCUGGCACAGA